CAGAAGCUUCCAGUCGGAGGAAACAAGACCAGCUGAGGAUCCAGCGAGUUUCCUGUUCUGGUGCCUGAUGCUAUGGCUCUUCUGCUGUUAUGAAGAGUACCUCUGAAUGAGAGGACAUGUGGAACAGUGACUGGGCAAGGGAGACCUAUUCUGAAUGAAGACAGCAGCAUCUGACAGACUGACAGCCCAGAGGAAAAGGAGCUGGACCUGCAGGCUUCCGGAUUUUGCAGCUGUAUUAGUUAUUGUGAGAAAAUACUGUCAGAAGGAACUUAAGGGAGGAAGGACUUCACACAAGAAAUAGAGAACUGGAAACAAAGUAUAAAUUUUAAAAGAUUGUAUUUUUAAAGUUUUGCUUCAUUUGAGUCUUACCCAUUUCCCCCUUUUAUUUGACCUUCUAUUGAUCCAGAAAACAAAAGGGAAUGUCUUACUUUCUUUCUUCUUUUCCAAUAAAAAGACUUUCAUAUAUUCAGACUGGAUUUAGAACAAAAGGAAUCCUCAAUCUAGCUCUGAAUUGUUAAAACAUAAAGCUUGGAAAUGUUCUGA